GCCGCCGUGGUGGAACUGGCAGACACGCUAGACUCAAAAUCUGGUGAGGUUUACCCUCGUAUCGGUUCAACUCCGAUCGGCGGCA
rfam:Candidate division WOR-1 bacterium RIFCSPHIGHO2_01_FTLL_53_15 rifcsphigho2_01_scaffold_2716, whole genome shotgun sequence.